UUAAAAAACGUGAACAUGGGUACUCCAUGCUUUUUUAUUUUUAAUAAUCUCUAUUUUUUCAACAGUAAGUCCCUUUUGUCAUUGUAUAGUAGUGUUUAUUUGUUUUCACCCAGUGAACCCCUUUUUGAUUUCUUGUUGUUUUGUGUAGAAACCUUUUAUUUGGCCAUUGUGACUAUUUUGUGUUUAGGCUAUUUGUUUAAUUGAAGUCUUUUGUUUAACUGCAACCUUGCUAUUCUGUCACAAAUGCUCUUUUUUCAGGUUCAGAUGGAACCCUUGUUUAGAAGAAAGGCUGAUGGCAGCUCAACCUGACUGAUACAAAGUGAUCCAUAAGCUGGUAUCGCCCCAGAAGGUUCAACCAUCUCUGAUGACUGGUGCUGAACUGAGCGACCAAGAACUACAGAAAAAUCGUACCUUCUUAUACUGGACCAUGCAAAUACACAGGGGAACUAAUUGGUGUGGAGUAUUUGUACAAUCAGUUCUCCGUGACGACGGUGCCAUGAUUGAGAGGUUGGAGGCUGGCUCUGAUCUGUCUAUUGAAUUGGAGGAAGAUGAGGGAUUUGCUGACACCGAAGGGUUUCAGGAUCUAACAGUUCCUACACUGGACAGAGAACCUUCCUGCAGCUGUUUGUUAAAUUGCUCGUUUCAAGUUGCGAUGUAGCCUAUGAGAAUCGAAAGCACAAUUCAAGGGGAAUUAGCUCAAAUGGUAGAGCGCUCGCUUUGCAUGCAAGAAAUAGCGGGAUCGAUGCUCGCAUUUUCCAAAUAGUUUGAAUGUAUCUGCAUAUUUAGUCCCAACGCAUUAUGGAGAUACAUACAGUGUGACAAUUCUUUGUAACAGAGUCGCCCGCCCUACAUGUGUAUUUAAAAGCAGUCUUCUAAUUUGUAAUAUUCCCCAGACUGAAAAACUGCAGUGCUCCCUCCAUCGUAUGCCUUCCGAGAAGCACAAAGGGAGAUUUUUUUUUUUAACAAUUGAAGGGUUUCUAUUAAUUGAGAAUAUUUUGAAGAGUUUGUGUUAAUUGAAAAUAUAAAUGGUUUGAAGUUUGCUUUCAUUUGUAACAUGCUUGUAAUGAAAUAUCAGUGUGGUUCUUUUAAUUACCUCAUUGUACUGUAUACUAGCUACUGUUGCAUGUCCAUGAUUUUGCUUCUCAGCUUCCCAUAUGGUCUAGUGGUAGGGAUUCCUGGUUUUCACCCAGGCGGCCUGGGUUCGACUCCCGGUAUGGGAAUGUUUUUGUUAUUCUCAUUUUGUUACAGAACAUGUGUAAUGU